AGCAGUCGCCGCGGGAACACGUAGGUGGCAAGCGUUGUCCGGAAUUAUUGGGCGUAAAGGGCUCGCAGGCGGUUUCUUAAGUCUGAUGUGAAAGCCCCCGGCUCAACCGGGGAGGGUCAUUGGAAACUGGGAAACUUGAGUGCAGAAGAGGAGAGUGGAAUUCCACGUGUAGCGGUGAAAUGCGUAGAGAUGUGGAGGAACACCAGUGGCGAAGGCGACUCUCUGGUCUGUAACUGACGCUGAGGAGCGAAAGCGUGGGGAGCGAACAGGAUUAGAUACCCCAGUAGUCCCUGUCUCUUAUAC
rnacentral:rRNA from 1 species